AAGAGGAGGAUUGGCAGCAGUUAGCUCAGGGCUAAUCUUGCUCAAAAAAAAAAGAAAAAGAAAAAAAUCCCAGCUUUUGGAAAGAAUGCUUUCCCCGACCCCUAGACCAGGCCAGACCUCCCAAAAGGGGUUUGAAGAAUCCCCACUCCCCAGCACUGGGGUCAUCUGUGGUCUCUCUCCCACACUCCCCACUGAAGAGGGCUCCAGAGGCCAGGGACAAAGAGCGGCUCUUUGCCCUGGCUCCAGCAACAGUGCCCAGGCUGAUCUGCGGGCAGGUGUUUAAAAAAGACGCCAGGAAUAAAUGAUUGAAGAAGCUGAACCAGAAGGGGCAAGACACGAGCUGAGCCACGCAGGAGGGCUCCGCUUUGUCCCAUGGAGGACGUGCAUGGGGCCUAGGUGGGGCUUAGGGCACAGAGGCCCUGCCCGGGGUUCCAGGUAUCAGCGGAGGAGGGACGGCUUGAGGAGGAAAGGAGGGAGGGUGGGAGGAGAGAGGAGGGAGGCUGGGAAAGUCCCCGCCCCCAGGCCAGCCGGGAAAGUAGGGGAAAGGUGGCCGGGGGAGGGGAGGGCCCAAGACGGGUGAGGGGGGGCAGUGUGGCGGCACUGCGGGGGUGGGGGCGGGAACUGAGUGACUACAGACACUUUCCGGCCCCCCGGGCAGCUCCUCUUUCCCCCACUCUCCUCUCUUCCAAUCAAGACAGGCGCGCGGCCAAAGCACCAAUGUGGCUUCUAUUAGCAGCAGCUGUUUGUCUCCAGCUCUGAACUUUCCCCUACUUGGCAGGGCUCAGCCCGCAGCCUGGGAGUCCCCACAGCGACGCCCCCCCGCCGCCACAUUCCCAGGCGGACCUCUGCCUGCUGGCCCCGCCCCACAGCCUCUCAGCCGGGGAGGGUGGUGCGCUGGGGCGCGACGGACCCUUACUGGGUCCGAGGGGGGAGCCCUCAAGACUCGAAGGCUGGAAGCGAGUAACCCGCCGGAGGGUAUGAGGCGGGGAUCGAGCUUUCAUCCAGUUGACUGCGGCCACAGAUGCCCGGCCGAGUGACGGCCUAGGGGGGAGCACAGGGAAGCCAGCCAGGUCUGGGGCAGGGAGCUGAGCGCGUGUGCCAGACACACACACAGACACGCUGCCGUUGGAGAUCUGGGGUGAUUUGUGGCAUACACGACAAAGGACCCAGAACUCACGGUGAUGGCAAAGGCUCACUUUUUUCGGGGGUGGCGAACGGGAGGGAGGGUGAUCAGGGACUCGGGGGCCAACAGAGGGGUGAGGGACUAGGUGUGCGGGUCAGAGAUGCAAGAGCGAAUGGUUUGUCUGGCCAGGGAGAUGGGGGUUCCCUGCCCUAGCCGCCCCGCCCCCAACCACACUCCAAAAGACCUUGGGGGGGCUAAACCUCAGAAAAUUCUCUCUUCAUCUAGUGAGGACUCCAGGCUCCCUAGCUGGCACCCGUUUGUCCCCCUCGCGCCCUCCUAGAAGGUUCCAGCCUGCAGGAAGGUGGCCCUGAGCUGCACCACCCGCUUCCCCCCACCCCUGCAGCUCAAGUUCCUCUUGGACGCUCUCUCCCAACCCCUGCUCCAGAUCCCUUGUUCUGGGAGAAGCUGACUGCCAUGCUGUGAGGACGCUCAAGCAGCCUUUGAGAGAGAUCCACAUGUUUCCUGAUGGUCAUUGCUGAAGAGCAUAUUGCGAUCAUAGUAAGAACCACAAAGGCUGGACCAACCACAACAUCGGUUAUUGCAGGAUGGCCUGAGUUUCUUACAUGGCGAUGGCAGUGUUUCAAGACGACGAGACCCAAGACCCAAGAUGUAUCAGCUUCUGCUUGUGUCACAUGGGCUGACAUCCCAAUAGCCAAAGCUACGCAAGAGCAGGGACGUCAUUCAGCAUGAAGCAUUGGGGGCCACUGAGGCAUAGCCUCUCACAGUCAGCUUGACGUAGAACUUUAAAUAUUUGGACGUAUAGCCCUGCAAAUAUGGGGAUGGGCCUCUCUGCCUCAGGGACUCAGUGCAAAUCAGGAUCCCAUCAUGGAGGUCAGACCCAGCACAGACUCACUUCAUGCAUUCUGCAAACAUUGCUAAAGCACCUACUGUGCACCAGGCUGUAUGCCGCACACUGGGGACACAGCCCCGAGCAGGCAGACGUGGUCCUGUGCUCAAGAAGUCGCAGGCCAC